rnacentral:rRNA from 1 species
UACGUAGGGUGCGAGCGUUAAUCGGAAUUACUGGGCGUAAAGCGUGCGCAGGCGGUUUUGUAAGCCAGAUGUGAAAGCCCCGAGCUUAACCUGGGAAUGGCAUUUGGGACUGCAAGGCUUGAGUGCGGCAGAGGAGACUGGAAUUCCUGGUGUAGCAGUGAAAUGCGUAGAUAUCAGGAGGAAUACCGAUGGCGAAGGCAGGUCUCUGGGCCUUACCUGACGCUGAGGAGCGAAAGCAUGGGGAGCAAACAGG